UACAGAGGGGGCAAGCGUUGUUCGGAAUUACUGGGCGUAAAGGGCGCGUAGGCGGCCUGCUAAGUCGAACGUGAAAUCCCUGGGCUCAACCCAGGAACUGCGUCCGAUACUGGCAGGCUUGAAUCCGGGAGAGGGAUGUGGAAUUCCAGGUGUAGCGGUGAAAUGCGUAGAUAUCUGGAGGAACACCGGUGGCGAAGGCGGCAUCCUGGACCGGUAUUGACGCUGAGGCGCGAAAGCCAGGGGAGCAAACGGG
rnacentral:rRNA from 1 species